rnacentral:lncRNA from 1 species
CCAGCCAACGGACAUAGGACACGCAGCAAGGACAACCCAAAUGUGUAAGGGAUAAAUAUGUCUGCUUUUCCUUUGUUCAAGUGUUCUCCUGCCAUUGUUCCAUCUGCAAUUGAGCACCCUUUCUGCAGAAAGUAAAGAUGGCCUUGCUGAGAGAUCUUUUGUCUCUGUGCUGACUUUCCUUUGUGGCACCAAUGAUGUAUUUCUAACAAUUUUGAUAUUUCUAACAAUUUUGGUGGCAAUCGUAUGGGGAUACAUUCUCCUCCGGGGGCAUCUCUAGUCCUCUUUCAUGAGGAGGCACCACACCACCUCUUGCGGUGGCCUCAGGGGUAAGGGACCAAGACCCACCUGGUGCGAGGAAUAACCCGAGCUCUCAGCAAUGCAGAAAGAAACUGGCCAGCAACCUAGCUUAAAGGAUCCUCACAUACUGCAGCGAUGACUUUGUGCACAGACCAAGGAAGGCAAAGCCACAGGAGCCGGUCUUUUAGCACAGAUGCCGCCCUUGGAGUUUCCAGUACAUCAGCAUCAGCCUGGGGAUCACAUUCUCAUCAAAGGAUAGAAAGAAGGGAAACUCGGGCCAGCCUUGGAAGGACCGUACCUUGUGCUGCUAACCAUCGAGACUGCUGUUCGUACAGCGGAAAGGGAUGGACACAUGACACCUGAGUCAAGCAAGUGCCAUUAUCCUCAGAAUCAUGGGCCAUUGUUCCUGGGUCAAGCCCUACCAAAUUAAAGCUAAGGAAAGCUUAGUCUAUCUUUUUCCUUUCCUUUCCUAACCCAGUGCUUAAAUCCAUUACUAUUCCUACCACCAGCAACUCUAACCCCACUGUAGGGCACUUCUGUGGUUUAGGAGCAGAAGUCACUGGAAAGGAUCCUAUAGGCUUCUUUAAGGUGCACUUUGUUCUCCCUCCUCUACCUCCUACAACUGCACCUUUCCCAAACCUACAAAAUCAAACUAUGACUCGCCUCAUGCCAAAUGACAAAAGCAAGGUCUCAGUAGUAGAAAUAGGAGACCUAUGGCAAACCAUAGCCAUUGAAACAGGGUAUAAAGAUGUAAAUGCCUGGUUAAAAUAGAUUAAAUAUUCUGUUUGCACUUUAAA